rnacentral:rRNA from 1 species
AUUGAACGCUGGCGGCAUGCUUUACACAUGCAAGUCGAACGGUAACAGGCCGCCAGGUGCUGACGAGUGGCGAACGGGUGAGUAAUGCAUCGGAACGUGCCCAGUCGUGGGGGAUAACUACUCGAAAGAGUAGCUAAUACCGCAUACGAUCUAUGGAUGAAAGCGGGGGACCGUAAGGCCUCGCGCGAUUGGAGCGGCCGAUGUCAGAUUAGGUAGUUGGUGGGGUAAAGGCUCACCAAGCCAACGAUCUGUAGCUGGUCUGAGAGGACAACCAGCCACACUGGGACUGAGACACGGCCCAGACUCCUACGGGAGGCAGCGGUGGGGAAUUUUGGACAAUGGGCGCAAGCCUGAUCCAGCAAUGCCGCGUGCAGGAAGAAGGCCUUCGGGUUGUAAACUGCUUUUGUACGGAACGAAACGGCUCUGGUUAAUACCCGGGGCUAAUGACGGUACCGUAAGAAUAAGCACCGGCUAACUACGUG